rnacentral:rRNA from 1 species
UACGUAGGAUGCAAGCGUUGUCCGGAUUUACUGGGCGUAAAGCGCACGUAGGUGGUCUGUUAUGUCAGAUGUGAAAGCCCUCGGCUUAACUGAGGAAGUGCACCUGAAACUGGCAGGCUUGAGUACGAAAGAGGGUCGCGGAAUUCCCGGUGUAGAGGUGAAAUUCGUAGAUAUCGGGAGGAACACCGGUGGCGAAGGCGGCGACCUGGUUCGAUACUGACACUGAGGUGCGAAAGCGUGGGGAGCAAACAGG